UGUAUUAGGUUGAUGCAAAAGUAAUUGUGGUUUUUUCCAUUAUUUUUAAUAGCAAAAACUGCAAUUACUUUUACACCAACCCUAAUAAAUCU
ensembl:miRNA